CGCGUAGGCGGUCGUGCAAGUCGAACGUGAAAUCCCUCGGCUCAACCGAGGAACUGCGUCCGAAACUGCUCGACUUGAGUCCCGGAGAGGGUAGCGGAAUUCCCAGUGUAGCGGUGAAAUGCGUAGAUAUUGGGAGGAACACCUGUGGCGAAGGCGGCUACCUGGACGGGUACUGACGCUGAGGCGCGAAAGCUAGGGGAGCAAACA
rnacentral:rRNA from 1 species